UCCAGGUUUGUGAACACGUGAUUAUGCCGAUUGACAUAUUUCGGCGCCAUUUUUGUUAUGGGCAAAACCAUCUCUACUCUGGUCAACACCAGGAAACUGAGCCAUUCCUGCACGUUACUUUUUAAUGUAACCGGCGCCAUGCCCGACUCAUCUCUAUCUUUAUAGUGGACAGAAAGCCAAGAGCGUGAGGACACUGCAAGAAGGCACUGUGUUUAUGAGCAGAAGUGGGCCCUCACCAGACCCCAAGUCUACUGGCACCUUGAUCUUGAACUUCCCAGCCUCCAGAAUGGUGAGAAAUAAAUUUCUGUUAAUAUAUCACCUAGUUUAUGGUAUUUUGUAAUAGCAGCUUGAGUGGACUAAGAUACAGUGUUGAUAGAUAAAACAUUCUGUCAAUCAUGUGAACUGCAAAAAUUUAAUAUUUAUUUUGCAUGUUUUAUACAGUAACACCAAAAUAAUGCUCAAUAAGUUACACAGCUAUUUUCUAGAAACA